rnacentral:lncRNA from 1 species
UCUGCAUUUAUUUUAUAUCAUUUGAUUGUAAUCAUUAAGGUGAUCUAGGCUUAAAAGGGUUUCAUGCAUAGGGACUUUAUUAAGAAAUUUUUAAAAUUCCUAGCUUCCGCUGCGCAUUAUAACAUGCUAAAACCCUUCAGUGGUAUCAGAGCCAUCCUUAAUUGGUUCAAUCAAAUAAUUAUAUAUGAUGUAUGAUUAUUAAUUUACUAUGAGAUAGUAAUGUCAUAUGCUUAGAGAAAUGCUGAAAUGUAUGAUUCAUAUAUGAUAUGUUAUGUAAUAAAAUAUCAUGAUAUGAAAUUUUCCAUAUGAA